rnacentral:rRNA from 1 species
GAUCCUGGGCUCAGGAUGAACGCUAGCUACAGGCUUAACACAUGCAAGUCGAGGGGCAGCAUGAAAGGAACUUCGGUUCUUUUUGAUGGCGACCGGCGCACGGGUGCGUAACGCGUAUCGAACCUGCCUCAUACUCGGGGAUAGCCUUGCGAAAGUAAGAUUAAUACCCGGCGGUCUCGGACGGCCGCAUGACAGUCCGAGUGAAGAUUUAUCGGUAUGAGAUGGCGAUGCGUCCCAUUAG